CACAUUUAUUAUUCCCUUCUCAGCUCUUCCUUGCCAUUUUGAACAAUGCUUAUCUUCAACACUUCAUCAUUUUGAAACAUCCAGAAGAAGGGACGUUUACUGACUUCUCUUGUGAAAUGUCUCUGCAUCUUCCAGAUCUUGCUCCUCUGUUGUGCCGUAUUCACUGAUGCUCGCCCUGCAAGUUUCCUUUGAGAUGCCGUUCUGGGGACUGCGAUGACCGUAGAAGAAGGUUUUCUUCCAUCUGCUCUCUGAUGCUGACCACCUUCGCAUAACAUUCCCACAGCAUGAUAAUGCCACCUCCAUGUCCUACCACAGGGAUGGCAUUUUAAUGAUUUCCAAAAGUUGGAAAUACCCAGAAAAAAAAAGAGCAAUGGAUUCAUACUGCUAACAGUGGGUAAGCAUAAAGUCCUGUAAUGUGAGUUGACUCAAGUUAUUUUUGUUUGCAAACUGAGCAUGUUGCAAGUUGGAAUAAUAAGUAAAUAGGAAAAGCAAGUCUGGUUUCUUUUGUAGUCUAGAACAAUUAUGCUUGAACAAACUAUUUUCACUUGAACGCACGUUUAUGGUAAUGCCCCCUGAUGGCUCAUCAGCUGAAAAUGCCAGUAAGUAUGCGAUUUUUUAUUUUAUUUCAUUUU